UCUUUAUUAUUAUUAUUAUUAUUAUUAUUAUUAUUAUUUUAAUGAUGGACCAUUCAUUGUAGGGCCCACCAAAUGGACAGUCUACAAUUACCCACCAUAUGGCUACAUGUAUGGUGGUGAGCCAUGGCAGGCCUAAGUUCAUCAUAAUGGGCUGUUGGGGCCUAGUCAUCACAGAUUCUUGUGGGUAUGUUAUGGGUGAAUCUCAUCUAACUCCUAUGUUGCCAAUUCCAUUGGGCCGUGGAUUUGGUGUGGGCAAGUUCCUGACUGUGGGCCCCACCUUGAUGUAUGUCUUGUACAUCCCCUCUGUCCAUUAGUUUUUCCGGCUCAUUUUAGGGCAUGUUCCCAAAAAUGUAGCAGAUCCAAAUCUGAUGGGUAAUCAGAUACCGCUGCCAAAAAGAGUAAAUGGGGCCUCUUCUCAUAGCUGGAAUAAGGUUUUUUUUCUGUGGGGACCCACCGUAGGUAGACCCUGCUGCGAUGAUUAAAAUUACUUUCUUACUUUUGACAUGCUGAAGUGGGGGGUGCACUAGAUGAUCCCAUCCCAGCUGCUUUUGCUUCUAUCUUUGGUGAGGUGUGUCAGUGGAUGGGUUCGGACCCUGGAGCUUUGAGUUCCUUGAACAGCAAUGUAGUUGGAGUUGUGAAAAGCCGAAUAAUUGAGGUAUUACAGGAUUGGUUGGCUUGGCCCA